rnacentral:rRNA from 1 species
AGACGUUUGGUACGUCCUCGGACGUCAGGAUGAACGCUGGCGGCGUGCCUAACACAUGCAAGUCGAGCGAAGCACUUCAUUAGAACUCUCGGAGGGACGAGGAAGUGACUGAGCGGCGGACGGGUGAGUAACGCGUGGGCAACCUGCCUUACACAGGGGGAUAACAGUUAGAAAUGACUGCUAAUACCGCAUAAGACCACAUUGCCGCAUGGCAGGGUGGUAAAAACUCCGGUGGUGUAAGAUGGGCCCGCGUCUGAUUAGGUAGUUGGGCAGGGUAGAGGCCUACCAAGCCUACGAUCAGUAGCCGGCCUGAGAGGGUGGACGGCCACAUUGGGACUGAGACACGGCCCAAACUCCUACGGGAGGCAGCAGUGGGGAAUAUUGCACAACGGGGGAAACCCUGAUGCAGCGACGCCGCGUGAGUGAGGAAGUAUUUCGGUAUGUAAAGCUCUAUCAGCAGGGAAGAAAAUGACGGUACCUGACUAAGAAGCCCCGGCUAACUACGUG